UUAAUAUCUCAAGUUGAUAUUUCAUACUGUGUUCUGUCUUUCCAAGUGUAAUUAUGCUAAGAGACAGGACUUGUUGGGGAUAUUUAGAAAAGUCACCCAAACUCACAGAUGUUUGUACAAUUUAUAACUAAAUCUAUUUUUGCAACCUAAGUGCCAUGUAUUUGAUAUAAUCUGACUUGUAAGUCUAGUCCAAAAUCAUAGGAUCUGGUUCUGUCUGAAGCUUUCAGUCAUCAACCUCUGUCCUAGAUUAUUCAUCCUGAAAAACCGGUGUGAAAUAGAGAUGAUUGAAAUAAGAUUCUGAUGAUACUGUAAUAGAUUAGGUGAAUUUAUUAGUAGUUGUAGAAAGGUAAACAUUUAAAAAAAUAGAAUUAUGAGGUAAUUUCAUGUAAAAAACACAUAAUGAAAUAGGAAAAAUGUUAUAGGUAAUACAUGUGUAGAUACAUGCUGAAAGACUGUAGAUGAAAAUUGUAUUAUAUAAAAGGAAUGUUGGAUACCUAUGUACAUAAUAUUGUCACAUUUUGGAGCUUUACAUGCAUUAACAAUUUUUUUUUUUUUAUAAAAAUAAUGUAACUUAUAUCUCAAUGUUUCAUAAGUACUGUAAAGUUUCUUUUUCCAUUGUAGAGAUUUAUGUGUUUUUCUAGAUGUAAUUUUAAGAGUAACAAUUGAUGUUAUUUCUCUAGGGGAAUUAUGAAGCAAACCAUACCUUCUUAAGUUACAUGUAUCAUGGUACAUUUUGUUGUUGUUGUUGUUGUGAUGUUAUUCUGUAUCAAAAUAUUUUGUAAUGUCAUAUCUUAAAAAAAAGGGAGAGACAGUUUUUUCCUGUUGGUAUAUAAAUAAGUGGAUAUUAGACAAACACAAAUAUGUUCAUGUCGAUACUUUAUUGAUUGAUGGAUUACUGACAAAUUGAAAAUGAACAUCCUACAAAGAUUAAUGAUUUUAUUAAAAGAAAUCUUAAAUCUAGAAAAAAAACCUGUACAAUGUCACCAUAUUGAGAUAGAGGUAUGUACUGGAGUGGGCCGUGUUCCAAUACUAUAUUCAUUAGCACUGUAGAUAUCAUUAUCACCACCAUUUGAGAUAAGCAAUAUUCUAGAUCUCUGUAAAUGUUGUAUGUAUUUAUAUAUAAUUACAUGUAGGCUGGAGAUUAAAAAGUUAUUUGUUUUACUUUGUAGUUACGUACACAUUUAAACAGUUAUCACCACAGUCUAAUCUAUUUCAGUGGAAGACAAAGAUCUGUUUUUACGUUUCUAUUAAACAUGCUCAACUUUAUUAAGAAUGGUAAUCAUAUUGACUGUUUCUGUUGUUUUAUUAUCUUGUUGUGGUACAAGAAAUUGAAACUAAAAAAAGAUUGGUGAUUCCUUUCUUGGUAUGAAUAUUACCUAACAAGGUAUUGGGUUUGCCUUAUUGUUUUUUUGACAAGUUAAUAACUUUUUCUAAAGUCUGGUAUCAUGUGCUUGCCAUUUAAGGCCAUUGGUUUUCUUAUAAUUUACAGUUGAGGAGAAUUUAACAAAAAAUUUAAAUCUUAUAUUUUGAUAAACCAGUUUUGAUCACAAUUCAAUCCUCACAAUGUGUGUACUUAUCAAAUAGUCUAAACUAUAUAUGAAUAAACACACAUUAGGUUUUUUAUAUGUUUUGAUAACAGAUGUUUACAUGUUAUUGCCUUUAGAAAUUUGUAAAUGAAUGAUAGUUGACAAUUAAGGAAUACGUUUUAUCUUUGCUUUGAUAUUGUACCAUAAAACAAUGACCAUUCAUUUAUUUUAGUUCAACGGAUGAGGGUCCGUUUUCAGAAUCUGUUACAAUUCAUAACAAGACAAUGAAAGAUCAGAAUCAAGUGCCACAGAUAAAGUACAUAGACCUCAUACAAAAUAUAGAAUCAAGUGUCAUAAAUAUCCAUCUGUAGCUAUUAAAACAAGUUAUCAACAAAUUGGUAGACAAUUUCUGAAAACAAAUAUUCUUCACAUUCAAAUAAAAACAACCAGUUAAAACAUUAAAAAGAUAGUCAGGCCAAGGUAUUAAAACUCAUCAGUACUCAAAGCUUUGAACAUUAAAAAGUCAGGAUUAUGUCCGAGGUAUUAAAACUUGUCAGUGCUCAAACUUUGAACAUUAAAAAGUCAGGAUUAUGUCUGAGGUAUUAAAACUCAUCAGUACUCAAAGCUUUUGUUUUUUUUUUAAUGACAUUAACAUGGAGAUAAUAAUGAUGAAUCUCUCAACCUUACAAACUGGUUAUGGUUAAUUUCUCUUGUAGGAAACUGCGAACACACAAUUUCUUGAUUAAUUAUGAGAAAUAGAAUAUUUAAAAGUUUGAAUUCAACACUUAUAAUUUUAUGUAACAGACAGUUUCUGUGCAGACCAACACAUAUAUCACGAUAUGAUAUUCCAUCAUUUCUGUAAAACUGAAACAAAUCAAUUUAUAGUUAUGCAAUGAAAAUCCGUCCGAGCAUGUCAUAUUUUGCCCUGACAUUUAUUUUGUUUGAUUGUUAACACACAAAAAUUUACAAAGUAAAUUGAUUGACAAUUUAUUAGUGCAUUCGUGUCAAAAAUAUAAUGAAUAAUUUGGUACAAAGGGUGGCAAACUGAUUUAAAAGUGAUAUUACCGUGUUAUAUUGUUGAUUGGUAUUUUAAGACUCGAUGAAGAAGGUUAUCAUGACAGGUUAAAGUAUAUCUAUUUAGUAAACCUUUGUUGAUGAAGUAUCAUAGAUAAGUUGAGUUUCAGGGAGGUAACUGUAUGUGUCAUUUGUUGAGAUUCCCAGAUGACCUAUUGCAGGAGAGUAGGAGAGCACACAAAAUUUGGAGAGCUGUGAUAGCCAUCAAAUUUGCAGGCUUUUACAAUUUACUAUAUGCUAUCUGCCAGCUUUUUUUCUGUCAAAAGCUUUGCUGAUGAAGUGUAAAUAUUUUUAUUGAUCAAAUUUUUCUCUUGGUAUCUGAUAUUAUAAUUUUUAAACCUGAACCUGUCGUCAAACUCAGAAAAAAAUGAUUUGUUGAAAAUUUGGUAGAAGAAAUUUGUAUGUUCAUUGUCUAUUGCAUUGGAAUUAUCAUGGAUAGUUGCUUAUUUCAAAAUAUGAAACAUUUUACUCAUAUGUCCUUUUAAAAGUAUUGAAUUUUAAGAAAUCAGGAAUCAUUCUAUUGACCUCCUCUACAUUUCAACAUUUGUUUUGUUCAAUAUUUCCAAGAUGCUUUCAGGCUGAUGUCAUCUCUGACAAGGAAAGAACAGCUUUAUGAUGUAGUUUAUUUAAUAAUCCAGCAGCCAUUUUUUCAUUCUCAAUUUGUAUAAAGAUGACCUAUUCACUUGAUUGUUUGUUUUUAUAGGCUUUGUAUUUUGCUUGUUUGUUGUAUUUAAAUUUGUUAGUGUCAUGAUAACAUCUCCAUUAAAUAUUUGUCAUAAAAUAUGUGGGGGAAAAAAAGAAGAAAAUGAAGAUUUCAGCAACAUCUUGUGUACUAAUAUCAUUAAAUGUUGUAUUACAGACAAGUGACCAACAGUGGAAUAAUUCUAACAUAGUACCCCGGGAUAAAUCUGUACAUAACCAAUCACAAUGCCAAGAAUUCUGGGGAAAUGUUGUGUUCUAUAUCACAGGGGUAUACUCAGUUAUCUUAAUUAUUGAUUUUUUAACAGUUACAAUUCAGCCUUGUGUACAUAGUCAUUUGAUAUCUCCAUUUCAGUUACGUGAUGCGUAAAAAACAUACUCUGUCGAUACAACAUACAUAAAUAUUGAUUAAACAUUUGUUUGUUAACAUCAGAUUACCUAAAUCACACUCAUGUUUUGAUCUGUUUAACCGUUUAUAGUACUAAAGGGAGUUAACUCUCUGAAGUCUAAUGAAUGAUAACGUCCUUCUUUGUAAUGUGUUUAUUCAAGUACAGUGUAUCUCUUGAUGAUGACCGAAGAGCAGAAAAUCUCACUUGUAUAAGUGUAUGGUAAAGAAUUGUUAUUAGAAGGUUGAUUGUUUGUAUUCACUACAUUGAAACUAUUCCAAUGUGAUAACAUCUUUGUUGAGAAAGUGUAUCUCCAUGUUUGAUGGAAGAGUAAUAAACAUCAAAUCAAUAAACAGAAAUUAUUAUAUAAAAACACACAAGACAACAAUUUAAUAUUUUGCAUUAUUACAAAAUUUGAUUUUAGAACUUUAAAGAUAAACGGUUUAAAAUGGAGUUGAAGUUUUCGUCUUAAUUUUCCAUAAUUUAUCUUAAGCGUAAUUGAUAAGUCAUGAGCACCUCAUUUUACAUAAUUAUGUACAGUAAAAGUUACUGAUGAUCAGUGGAAAUUUAUGGAAUAUGAAUUUUUUCUCACAGUUGUUGUCAUACUCUUCCAUUUUAUUCAUGAAAUGUUUGUUUUUUUAUGUUAUAUGUGACUAUCACAUGAUUACCAGGUAGUUUGAUGUUAUUGGCUGUUUGAGAACAUCACAUGAUUACCAGGUAGUUUGAUGUUAUUGGCUGUUUGAGAACAUCACAUGAUUACCAGGUAGUUUGAUGUUAUUGGCUGUUUGAGAACAUCACAUGAUUACCAGGUAGUUUGAUGUUAUUGGCUGUUUGAGAACAUCACAUGAUUACCAGGUAGUUUGAUGGUAUUGGCUGUUUGAGAACAUCACAUGAUUACCAGGCAGUUUGAUGUUAUUGGCUGUUUGAGAACAUCACAUGAUUACCAGGUAGUUUGAUGGUAUUGGCUGUUUGAGAACAUCACAUGAUAGGUUCAACAUCAUAUAAUAUUGGUGUAUUAGCUGGUUCCUUGUGAUUUUGAGCUAUUAGAUAAUAUUUAGACUGUAUACAAGGGUUCAUUUGUAAUGUAUGCAUUCCACUUUGUAUAUGGUUAUAUUGGGGUUAUUUUCUAAAAUUACUAAGUUUCAUUUGUUAGUUGGAACCAGCUAAAAUGUUCCUACAAAGUAAUAUAAAAUAUAAGUUACAAACAGAAUAGAAAUAGUACCAUUCACUUUGAAAUAUUUUAUCCUCAAAACUCCAGGGGUUAGCUGACAAUCACUCUAUGCACUCCUGGAAUAUUUCCUGGCAAAAUUGAAGGCACAAGCAAAUUAAUUAGAUUGGUUGAGAGUGGGUUUCAGGAGAAAAAACUGACCAAAUUCAGCCUGAUAAGCUCUUUUGAAUAUUACAAGAUAAGGACACCCAGUAUCAGUGAGAAUAACAUACUGUGUCACACAUGGAACUUUUUCGUGAAAUGUUCCAGAGGUGCCGAGAGCCAAAGUGAUUUUAACCUGUGGAGUAUGAGGAUGAAAUAUUUUGUGAAAUACACAUUUUCACUUGAAGUGCCUUUCAUUGCAAUUGCUACACACAUCACAGUUUGUAAGUAAGGUUGAUUAAUUUUGAUGUUGUAUAUAGUUUAAUAUUUAGUCAUGUUUAUAAGGUUUCUUAAAAUGCAAUUUAAAUAGAUUUCCUACGUGUAUGUCAGUAAAAGUAGCUAUUAGGUCUCCAAUCAAAAACCAAUUUAGCCAAUUUUAGGAACGACAAGAAAAUCAAAUUUCCCUAUGAAGUCAAAAGUUUAUAAAAUUACAUAUAACUCACAUGUGUGUUGAUAUGAGAUGGAAAUAGUAGAUUACGUUGAUAUUGUUGGAUGCUAAAUCAAGCACUGUAGUAUAUAUGUUUUACUAAACUCUUGGUAAUCAUGAGGCAUUAGUUAAUGUCUCUGUACUUAUUGUGGCACAGUCUCUUACUUUUCAAAUGUUUGUAUUUUUCAGAAACUCACUGUUGAUAUGUAUUGUGUUUGUGUUGUUUCCUCUACUUAGAGAAAAUCUGCAAGAAAUCCCAAAUUUUGGAAGUUAUAGUUAAAGAAUGGAUCAUUUUCAUGUUGUAUGUCUUAAUAUGCUUCAAAUAAAGACUGAUAAAUUUGA